rnacentral:rRNA from 1 species
GGUCAGGAUGAACGCUAGCUACAGGCUUAACACAUGCAAGUCGAGGGGCAGCAUAACGAAAGCUUGCUUUGUUGAUGGCGACCGGCGCACGGGUGAGUAACGCGUAUCCAACCUUCCCCAUAGUAGAGAAUAGCCCGGCGAAAGUCGGAUUAAUGCUCUAUGUUGUAUCAUGAGGACAUCUGAAUAAUACCAAAGGUUCACCGCUAUGGGAUGGGGAUGCGUCUGAUUAGGUUGUUGGCGGGGUAACGGCCCACCAAGCCCACGAUCAGUAGGGGUUCUGAGAGGAAGGUCCCCCACAUUGGAACUGAGACACGGUCCAAACUCCUACGGGAGGCAGCAGUGAGGAAUAUUGGUCAAUGGACGGAAGUCUGAACCAGCCAAGUAGCGUGCAGGAUGACGGCCCUAUGGGUUGUAAACUGCUUUUAUACAGGGAUAAAGUGAGGGACGUGUCCCUUUUUGUAGGUACUGUAUGAAUAAGGACCGGCUAAUUCCGUGCCAGCAGCGGC